rnacentral:rRNA from 1 species
AUUGAACGCUGGCGGCAGGCCUAACACAUGCAAGUCGAGCGAGCGGCGGACGGGUGAGUAAUGUAUGGGGACUGCCCGAUAGAGGGGGAUAACUCCUGGAAACGGUAGCUAAUACCGCAUACUCUCGGAUCCUCCAUAUGGGAUUAGCUAGUAGGUGAGGUAAUGGCUCACCUAGGCGACGAUCCCUAGCUGGUCUGAGAGGAUGAGCAGCCACACUGGGACGGAGACACGGACCAGACUCCUACGGAGGCAGCAGUGGGGAAUAGUGCACAAUGGGCGCAAGCCUGAUGCAGCCAUGCCGCGGGUAUGAAGAAGGCCUUAGGGUUGUAAAGUACGUUCAGUCGGGAGGCGUUACCGACAGAAGAAGCACCGGCUAACUCCGUGCCAGCAGCCGCGGUAAUUC